UAGCCGGCCCGGCCCUCUCCCCCCUCCCUCCCUCCCUCCCUCCAUUGGGAUUGAGAUUGUUGGGAUUGGGGUUGGGUCCUCACCUCCCCUCUCUCUCUCACCAGUCACCCCCACUCCCCAAUUCCACACAGCCAGGCAGUCAGUCAGUCAGUCCUACCACCACACAGCCAGGCCCACACCCAAGCUUCAUGACGACCAGGCCCGACGGAGGCGCCGCCGCCGCGCCCGACAAGCAGCUCGUCCCCGCCUCCGCCCCCAACGCCAACGGGAAUGGCGCCCUCGCCGUCCGCAAGGCCCCCUCCAAGGACCGCCACAGCAAGGUCGACGGUCGCGGCCGACGCAUCCGCAUGCCCAUCAUCUGCGCCGCCCGCGUCUUCCAGCUCACCCGCGAGCUCGGCCACAAGUCCGACGGCCAGACCAUCGAGUGGCUCCUCCGCCAGGCCGAGCCAUCCAUCAUCGCCGCCACCGGCACGGGCACCACCCCGGCAUCCUUCUCCACCUCGUCCCCCUCAUCCCUUCGCUCCUCCUCCCAGCCGCUGGCUGCUUCUCCCACAGCCCACGUCCUGCCCCACGCCGCGCCCUUCAUCCUCGGCAAGCGCGUCCGCGGGGCCGAUGACGAUUCCAACGCCGCCGCCGAGGUCACGGCGGUCGGGGCCGCGCCGGGCUUCUGGGCGCUCCCGGCGCGGGCCGACUUCGGCCAGCUCUGGAGCUUCGCGGCUGCGCCGGAGAUGAUGGUCGCCGCCGCGGCGCCGGCCAUGGCCGGCGAGGCGUCCGCUGCCAGAGUCGGCAACUACCUCCCCAUGGCGCAGGGCAACCUCAACCUGCUCGCCUCCUUCUCCGGCGGGCCCACUGGCGCCGGAGCGGCGGCCACCGCCGGACGGGCCGAGGAGGAGAGCGCCCGCUGAGGUAGGGCUGGCCACCGUCAUCUCCGGCGGUAGGGUUUUAGGGCUUCUAGGAUUUCAUCCGUCCUUCCUUGGCUUCCUUCAUUCGCAUCUGCCGUUGUGUGUGCAUCUGUCACUCAACUCUGGUCGCCUUCCUUGCUUGUUUUGCAUCCUUCCUCAACUGGGCAUCAACAAGAGCAGGAGAGAGCUUGCUCUCUUCUUCUUUGAGCUGUGCUGUUGAAGAAGAAGAAGAAAUCUCCUCUUGGUUGCACAGAACGGCGUCAAAUUCAUCUCUGCAACUGCAUCGGCUCCAACAAGAGAAGAAGAAAGGAAGAAAGCUUUAUGACAGACAAACACACAAGGCUGGCUGUGCUAGGAGAACAUCGAGGAAAAGUGAGCACGCAAUGUCUUCUCUUGUCCAGUUUGUUUUUUUAAUCCCUUCUAGAUUCUCGAAAACAACGCUAUUUUUUCGAGUUGACAGUCACGGAUUUGGACAAGUGUGGAAAUCAUCGUGGGAACUAUAACUGUUUAUGACCUAAAGUGAUCUGACUUGUAAGCUUUAUAUCUUCGGAUGAGAAGAUAAAGCCUGUGAAAUGAUGGAUUCUGCAUUCCCCAAGAUUCUGUCUUGUGCCUUUCUGACAUGGAUGAGCAUAGAUACUGAAUUAGAGAGGUUUCGGCGUCACACACACUCUGUUCAGAUAAUUAGGUGCUAGGUAGAAUGAGAUCAUCAUAGUGUUCUGUCUCAUUCAUGGUUUGUUUAUGAUGGAACUGGUGUGGGUACUUGGGAAUCGAAGAAGCAUUCCAGUGUCUUGAAAA